rnacentral:rRNA from 1 species
ACGAACGCUGGCGGCGUGCUUAACACAUGCAAGUCGAGCGGUAAGGCCCUUUCGGGGGUACACGAGCGGCGAACGGGUGAGUAACACGUGGGUGACCUGCCCUCAGCUCUGGGAUAAGCCUGGGAAACCGGGUCUAAUACUGGAUAUGACUCCAUGACGCAUGUUGUGGGGUGGAAAGCCUUGUGCGGCUGAGGAUGGGCCCGCGGCCUAUCAGCUUGUUGGUGGGGUGANGGCCUACCAAGGCGACGACGGGUAGCCGGCCUGAGAGGGCGACCGGCCACACUGGGACUGAGACACGGCCCAGACUCCUACGGGAGGCAGCAGGUGGGGAAUCUUGCGCAAUGGGCGAAAGCCUGACGCAGCGACGCCGCGUGAGGGAUGACGGCCU